rnacentral:rRNA from 1 species
AUUGAACGCUGGCGGCAGGCCUAACACAUGCAAGUCGAGCGGAUGAAGGGAGCUUGCUCCUGGAUCCAGCGGCGAACGGGUGAGUAAUGCCUAGGAAUCUGCCUGGUAGUGGGGGAUAACGUCCGGAAACGGGCGCUAAUACCGCAUACGUCCUGAGGGAGAAAGUGGGGGAUCUUCGGACCUCACGCUAUCAGAUGAGCCUAGGUCGGAUUAGCUAGUUGGUGGGGUAAAGGCCUACCAAGGCGACGAUCCGUAACUGGUCUGAGAGGAUGAUCAGUCACACUGGAACUGAGACACGGUCCAGACUCCUACGGGAGGCAGCAGUGGGGAAUAUUGGACAAUGGGCGAAAGCCUGAUCCAGCCAUGCCGCGUGUGUGAAGAAGGUCUUCGGAUUGUAAAGCACUUUAAGUUGGGAGGAAGGGCAGUAAGUUAAUACCUUGCUGUUUUGACGUUACCAACAGAAUAAGCACCGGCUAACUUCGUG